AUUGGUUCAUAUAUGAAAAAAGGCCAAGCUCCUCCCCUUUUAUUUUAUCUUCAGGGAAAUUCGGGAGCCCCUGGUCUGAAAGGAGAGAAGGGAAUUCUGGGAAUGCCUGGCUCUCGGGGUUUACCAGGUAUUGAUGGCCUUCCUGGACUUCAAGGUUCACAGGUUAGAAAUUACAUACAUUUUCUAAUAUAUAUAUAUAUAUAUAUGUUUUUAAUGCAAAAAGCUGCAAUUCUUUCUUUAAUUGAUACUGUAGACCCAAAAAAGAACUGUGUUAAUCCUGAUAUAACAUUCCCAUAUUAUACUCAGCAACCGGAGUGUUGGCACAUUUUGCUAUCUAGGACUUAUCUAGGACAACACCAUAGCAACCAUUUGUGAAAGCACAGCAACCACCUAGGACACCACUACAACUGUCGAGCCAUGCCGCCUUGAAACCACUUCGCAACCACUUAGCAACAGAAGUGGGUCUUCCACUGCAUCGCUCAAAGAACCAUUUGUAGCAUCUCCGACAUUGCCUUGUCAUGAGCAUGCUGGCUAGCUUGUAAGUUCAUACUCACUCACAAGAUAACACCUCACACCAUAUACAGGUAAGGUAACACAUAAUAACACUUAAUAACACAAGGAUCACCUCUAGCCUUCUGUAUUUAAUCUUGCGACUCAUUAAACUCUUAUUUCUUUCGCAGGGAGCUCAUGGAGACCCGGGAGCACCUGGUCAUCGUGGUCGUCCCGGUCUGAAGGUGAGUGAUCAUCAGUAGUUAUCAGAUCUGUAUCCAUACAAACAUGCAGAUAUUUUACACUCUGAACUUCCUGCAGGGUGAAAUAGGUGAUCCCGGUUUGAGGGGUCCUCCAGGUGAUCAUCUCAACAUGCCACCAGGUGAGGAGCCCUGAUCACUGGACUUUUACUAGAAUAUAUCCUAAUUUAUCUUCAGGGGCCGAAGUGCAGUUUGCAACACAGAAAACACGUGGAAGAAGGUGCUUUGUGGUCAGAUGAGACCAAAGUUACCCUGAACACACCCUCCCCCACUGUGAAACAUGGUGGUGGCAGCAUUAUGCUGUAGGAAUGCUUUUCUUCAGUUGAUGAGAAGAUGGAUGGAGA
rnacentral:lncRNA from 1 species